rnacentral:rRNA from 1 species
CGCAUCUGUGCAUGCAGCAUAUCAAUAAGCGAGGAAAAGAAACUAACAAGGAUUCCCCUAGUAACGGCGAGUGAAGCGGGAAGAGCUCAAAUUUGAAAUCUUAAAGGGUUUCCCUUUACGAAUUGUAGUUUAAAGAAGUGUUUUCUGUUGAGGUUUUGGUAAAAGUUCUUUGGAAUAGGACAUCAUAGAGGGUGAGAAUCCCGUAUUUGACCUUUACUUUCAACUUUGUGAUACACUUUCAAAGAGUCGGAUUGUUUGGGAAUGCAGUCCAAAAUGGGUGGUAAAUUUCAUCUAAAGCUAAAUAUUGGCGAGAGACCGAUAGCGAACAAGUACCGUGAGGGAAAGAUGAAAAGAACUUUGAAAAGAGAGUUAAACAGUACGUGAAAUUGUCAAAAGGGAAGCGUUUGACACCAGUGUUGUUUUUCUGAAAAUCAAUUAAAGAACUGUUUAUGCUAAGUUGUUUAGACUUUAUCAGCUAUCUGAUUUAGUUUUGAGCUUUUCUUUAAUGCACUUUUCAGUUAACAAGUCAACAUCAAUUUCUUUUGCUGUAAAAAAGCUUGAGGAAGGUGGCUUGAGAUUCGUCUUAAGUGUUUAUAGCCUCUUGCCUAUGCAGUCGGAGAGAUUGAGGUCUGCAGCGUAGAUCCUUCGGGGCUAAAUGCAUUUGUGCUAAGUUAUAGCAUUUUAUAGACAACUUGUUGACUAUGAUUUGUCUUGUAGCUUACUCGCUUAUGUUAUUUUACCUACGCUUAGGAUGUUGAAUCUGUGCGAGACUAC